UAACCGCAUAUCGGCCUGUCGCUCCCAUCUGUUUGGAUGGGGGAGGAAAGUCCGGACAACGUAGAGCACCACACCAUCUAACGGGUGGGACUGCAGGGAAACCUGUAGGACAGACAGUGUCGCAGAAAACUAUACCGCCUCAUUCUUUGAAUGGGGUAAGGGUGAAAACGUGGGGUAAGAGCCCACGGUGGCUUCGGGUAACCGAAGACAGGGAUAAACCUUGUGGGUUGAAAUGCCAUGUAUAUUCCGGUCUGCUUUGCAGAAAAGGUGACUCGCCUGAGCAUCGGCAACGAUGUACCGGAAGGGGUAGGCAGCUUAGAUAAAUGACAGGACAUCCGGUUUACCGGUGGACAGAAUCCGGCUUACAGAUAUGCUUAUUUA
rnacentral:RNase_P_RNA from 1 species